rnacentral:rRNA from 1 species
UGGGGAAUAUUGGACAAUGGGCGAAAGCCUGAUCCAGCCAUGCCGCGUGAGUGAUGAAGGCCUUAGGGUUGUAAAGCUCUUUUACCAGGGAUGAUAAUGACAGUACCUGGAGAAUAAGCUCCGGCUAACUCCGUGCCAGCAGCCGCGGUAAUACGGAGGGAGCUAGCGUUGUUCGGAAUUACUGGGCGUAAAGCGUACGUAGGCGGUGACUCAAGUCAGAGGUGAAAGCCUGGAGCUCAACUCCAGAACUGCCUUUGAAACUAGGUCGCUAGAAUCACGGAGAGGUGAGUGGAAUUCCGAGUGUAGAGGUGAAAUUCGUAGAUAUUCGGAAGAACACCAGUGGCGAAGGCGGCUCACUGGACGUGUAUUGACGCUGAGGUACGAAAGCGUGGGGAGCAAACAGGAUUAGAUACCCGGGUAGUCCCUGAGCGGGCUGGCAAGGCGCAU